GAUGAACGCUAGCUACAGGCUUAGCACAUGCAAGUCGAGGGGCAGCGGUAUCGAAAGCUUGCUUUCGGUAGCCGGCGACCGGCGCACGGGUGAGUAACGCGUAUCGAACCUGCCUCAUACUCGGGAAUAGCCUUGCGAAAGUAAGAUUAAUGCCCGGUGUUUUCAGAGUCCCGCAUGAGGCUUUGAACAAAGAUUUAUCGGUAUGAGAUGGCGAUGCGUCCCAUUAGCUUGUUGGCGGGGUAACGGCCCACCAAGGCAUCGAUGGGUAGGGGUUCUGAGAGGAAGGUCCCCCACAUUGGAACUGAGACACGGUCCAAACUCCUACGGGAGGCAGCAGUGAGGAAUAUUGGUCACUGGGCGGAAGCCUGAACCAGCCAAGUAGCGUGCAGGAAGACGGCCCUCCGGGUUGUAAACUGCUUUUAGUUGGGAAUAAAACGGGGCUCGUGAGCCCCCUUGCAUGUACCAUCAGAAAAAGGACCGGCUAAUUCCGUG
rnacentral:rRNA from 1 species